CGCGUGACGUACGAGCAUCCUGGUUUUUUGAAGUUGUGAACGGAGACAGAAUAUCAUUUGAAGAGCAGCGUUGAUGUGCAGUGCAUUGGUUACCUCACGCUUAUCAGCUGUCUUUUCCAAAUUUGAGGGGGAUCGAUCAUUACCCAGUUUUCAUCCUGUCGUCGUACCUUCUAAAACAACGGCUUUAUAAGACACACAGAAUUGGCAAACUACCUACUCACUUCAUCCGAGAAGAUACUUGUGGGGGGCAAGGGACAAAGUUUCAACACUAAACACCCACACAGAUGCACAAUUGGGAUUGUACAAGGUGUCAGAUCGUGUCUGGAAGCCUCCGAAGAUACAAGAAUGGAUGCUCCAAAUGUAAAAACGUUUGAAUAAGAAGACCGUACGGAAUAGAGACGUAUUGGAAAUAAACACAGUUUUAAAGGACACUGUGUAUCAGAAGCUAAUAAGGUUCAACAGCCAUGUCUCCAUUCUUGAGGAUUGGCUUCUCCAGCUUUGAGAUGGACCCAGGACUUGCCUACCAUGAGGAAGUUCUCAAUCCAUACUGUGCAGUCUACAUGAAGGAGGCCGUAGAGACCG